ACAAGCAGCAAUCCGGGGAGCAACUGGAAUGCAUUCUCCUGCAGCUGCCUCCAUGGAGUUUUGCUGAAUUUCCUCUCCAUUUGCUGAUGGUGGACUUGAGCUCAGUUUUUACAGAGCCCGUCUCCUGCAUCCCACUAGGUUGGGAGCAACUUUUCCAAAAGUCUUCUACUGCUGUCUGGGCAACCCAUGGAGCAGAGGCUGCUUGCAUGUACUUGGCUGGGAACUGGGGGGAUCCUCCUCAUCCUCGCAGGGAUGUGUGUGUCGGGUCCUUUCCAAGUCAGGCUGGUGAAUGGCCCUGACUCCUGCACGGGGCGGCUGGAGGUGUUCUACAACAGCACCUGGGGGACGGUGUGUGAUGACCACUGGAACCUUGCAGGAGCCCAUGUGGUGUGCCGGCAGCUGGACUGUGGGAUGGGGCUGUCUGCCAUUGGUGGGGCUCGGUAUGGCCGAGGAAAGGAUCCCAUCUGGUUGGACAACGUGCAGUGCACUGGGAUGGAAGCUGCUCUUUCCGAGUGCAGGGCACGGCCCUGGGGAAACCACAACUGUGGGCAUGGAGAGGAUGUCAGUGUUGUGUGCUCAGGGGCACCUGCUCCAGGUGAGAUCCAGGUCAGGCUGAUAAACGGCUCAAGCUCUUGCUCUGGCAGAGUGGAAAUCUUCCACAAUGGCAGCUGGGGCACGGUGUGUGAUGAUGGCUGGAAUAUGGCGGCUGCUGAAGUGGUGUGCAGAGAAAUGGGCUGUGGCUCAGCUCUGUCAGCCCCCGUUGGGGCUACUUUUGGGCAAGGGGCAGGACAAAUUUGGAUGGAUGAUGUGACCUGUGCUGGGACGGAGGCUGCCCUUUCUCUGUGCCAGGUCAGUUCCUGGGGAAGCCACAAUUGUGGCCACAGAGAGGAUGCUGGUGUUGAAUGCUCAGAACCAACGCAAGUACGUCUGGUAAAUGGCUCCAGCCGCUGCUCAGGGAGAAUUGAGGUACACCACAACCAGCGCUGGGGGACAGUGUGUGACGAUGGCUGGGACUUGGCUGAUGCAGAAGUGGUGUGCAGGCAGCUGGGCUGUGGGAAAGCGGUGUCAGCUCCUGGCAAAGCUAUGUUUGGGCAGGGACACGAUCCUGUGUGGCUGGAUGAGGUGAACUGCAUGGGGACAGAAGGGGCCAUCACUGAGUGUAACUUGAAGCACUGGGGAGACCAUAACUGCAAGCAUGAUGAAGAUGCUAGUGUUGUGUGUUCAGAUCCUACAGAGUUGCGGCUGGUGAAUGGCCCAAACCGCUGUGCUGGUCGAGUUGAGGUGCUUCAUCAUGAGCAGUGGGGAACUGUCUGUGACAAUGACUGGGGCAUGGAGCAUGCAAAAGUGGUGUGCCGGCAGCUGGGCUGUGGCACUCCAAUAUAUGCUCCAGGCUGGGCUAGGUUUGGCAGAGGCUAUGACCCCAUUUGGCUGGAGAAAGUGAUCUGCUCAGGAAUGGAGUCUGCCCUUAGUGAGUGCACAGUCCAGUCAUGGGGACAACACAGCUGUCACCAUGGGGAAGAUGCCAGCGUGGUGUGCACAGAUCCAAUGGCAGUCCAGCUGGUGAAUGGCCCAAGCCGCUGUGCUGGGAGAGUCGAGGUGCUGGAGCGACACCAAUGGGGGACAGUGUGCGAUGACAACUGGGACAUAAGAGAUGCCAACGUUGUGUGCUGGCAGCUAGGCUGUGGUGUGGCCAUUGCAGCUCCUGGCUUGGCUCACUUUGGUCGGGGAAGUGGUCCCAUCUGGCUGUCUGAAGUCAACUGCACAGGGACAGAAGAUAGCCUCUCCAAAUGCAGGGCCAGGCCUAAAGGAGUCACUGGGUGUCACCACGGAGAAGAUGCCAGUGUGGUGUGCUCAGUGCUCUUCCCAUAUGUGGAUCUCUGAAUCUCUGAGGCAAGAUAAAGCAUAGAACCAUAAAAUCAUUAAGGUUGGAAAAUACCUCUAAGGUCUUCAAGUCCAACCAUCCACCUAUCACCAACAUUGCUCAUU
rnacentral:lncRNA from 7 species